rnacentral:rRNA from 1 species
AUUGAACGCUGGCGGCAGGCCUAACACAUGCAAGUCGAACGAGUGGCGGACGGGUGAGUAAUGUCUGGGAAACUGCCUGAUGGAGGGGGAUAACUACUGGAAACGGUAGCUAAUACCGCAUACCAUCAGAUGUGCCCAGAUGGGAUUGGCUAGUGGGGGGGGUACCGGCUCACCAAGGCGACGAUCCCUAGCUGGUCUGGGAGGAUGACCAGCACCACUGGAAUGGAGACACGGUCCAGACUCCUACGGGAGGCAGCAGUGGGGAAGAUGGAACAAUGGGCGCAAGCCUGAUGCAGCCAUGCCGCGUGUAUGAAGAAGGCCUUCGGGUUGUAAAGUACUUUCAGCGGGGAGGCGUUACCCGCAGAAGAAGCACCGGCUAACUCCGUGCCAGCAGCCGCGGUAAUUC